CUGUAUCUGUACCUGUACUGUAUCUGUACUGUACCUGUACCUGUAACUGUACUGUAUCUGUACUGUACCUGUACUGUAUCUGUAUCUGUACCUGUACUGUAUCUGUACUGUACCUGUACCUGUAACUGUACUGUAUCUGUACUGUACCUGUACUGUAUCUGUUACCUGUACCUGUACUGUAUCUGUACUGUAUCUGUACUGUAUCUGUACUGUACCUGUACUGUAUCUGUACCUGUACCUGUACCUGUACCUGUACUGUAUCUGUACUGUAUCUAUGCUGUACCUGUAUCUUGUCUUGUGGGGCAUCUAAAUCUGAUGUGUGGUCAGGUCUGUGUGACAUAAUAUGAAUGAAGGGUUUAUUUGGCUGAACUCAAGCAACGUCUCCAAACUUUGUACAAUAACAACAGUUUUGUUAUUGCCCCUCUGAGAUAAAUACAGGGUUCAAAUUGCCCCUCGAAGAUAAAUUCAUGGUUCUAAUUGACCUUCAGAGAUAAAAACAGGGCACGUAUUGCCCCUCAGAGAUAAAUACAAGGUUCUUUCAUUGAUUUUAAUUGAAUUGUUUGUGUGACUAUAAGAGAGCUGACAAAUUGCUGUGCUGUGUGUUUUCUCUCUCCAGGUGUGUGGGUGAAAGAGAUGAUGCGGUCUGGAGCUGAUAGCUGACGUAGCUGAUAGCUGACGUAGCUGAUAGCUGACGUAGCUGAUAGCUGACGUAGCUGAUAGCUGACAGAGCUGAUAGCUGACUUAGCUGUAGUAGGAUGAGAUGAGAGAGGAUGGAACACACGGACAGCCCCGCCUCCCACAGCAGUGACCCCAACGGGUUCGUCAAUAAAGUCUUCAACGUGUCUCUGGAUGUGCAGAAUGAGACCGGCACUGUAUCUAUCCAGGAGACUGGGAAGGGAGAGGGACAGGGAGAGAGUCAAGAAGAGGGUCAGGGUCCAGGCCAAGCCCAGGGACAGUGGCAGGGGGAUGGGGAUAGACAGGCAGAGACCCAGGCACCCCCUCAGACCCCUGGGAUGGAGCACCCGGAUGUCAACCGUAGACCAAGAGCUACAGGAGGCAUCUGGAAGAUCUUGACCCGGCGAAAAGCGGCUUCAGAACUGGAUAACAGAAGACCUCACUCCAUGAUCCUCCCUGGAGAGGAGGCCUUUAUCCCUAAACUGUCCUUCGCUGACAAGGUCCGCUCCAUCAAGAAGCUCCGCUCUCCGGGUGUCUUCAAGGGGAGGGUGGGUAAGAUGUCUAGGUCCAGCACUAAGUUCAGAGAUGGAGAGACGGAGGACGACUCAUUCUGCCGGGACUUCCUCCCCUCACCCGCCCUGCAUCCCGGUAGGAGCACACUCCGCCACUACGCCAAGAGGCACUCGUAUGCCGGACACACCGCCGAGUUCGACUGCUCAUUUGAUGACAUGGAUCUGACAGCUACCCUGGACAGACACCAUCUUCCCUCGCUAGUGGAGCCUGCUACCCAGAACGGCUCUAAGCCCACAGAGAGAGUCCCCUACACCAAGAGAUCUCAGGUCCAGGCUCAGGCGCAGUCCAAUCACUCCUCUAACUGUAACACUACCUCAGCAGAAGUGUGUGAGGAGCAGAGUGUGAGGGGCGGCCCCAAGGCCCCGCUGGGUGGGAGGAGGUCUAAGAGAGCUGACGUGUGGAGUUACCUGAGGAAGAUCUCUGUCCUGGGGAAGGGGAACCCGGCCUACUCAGAGAGGAGUUUUGACUCAGAGCUACACACACUGGACAAGACCAUGGACUCUGACUACGGCUCGGUGGACUUCGAGAGCAUCCGGGACUUUCAGCCAGCUGCUCCAAAACACUCUGACAGCAAAGGUGGACAUUUUGGGGGUCUGAUUAAGUUCUUCAGCAACGUUGCAGAGACGGCUAGAAAAUGGCGGAUGUCUUCUCACUCCUUCUCUCCUCCAGAGGGGGGGGCGGAGCGGACGCCACUGGACUCCCCCAGAGCAGGGCAGCGUCUGGGGGACUACGUCCACAGUGUGUCCCUGACCCUCCGCAGUGAGGACCAUCCAGAGUGUCCCCCAACACCCGCCUCACCCCUAACCCCUCACCCCCCUCGCUCCCCUUCUUGUGACCCUGCCUCACCCACUCCUCUGAUAGGCAGACGGUCUCCUCGAGUGGUGCUGAAGGCCUGGAGGGUGAGUCCGGACUCACCAAGCGUUAACGGCCUGGUGUGUGUGAGCUCAUUGGAAACGGCCAGACAGACAGACAAACAGACAGAGAGCCAGCCAGUCAGACAGACAGAGAGACAGACACCGCACACCUCUGUAGCCACAGUAGAGAAUCACGUGCCACACUCAAGGCUGGAGAGAGAGACUCAGAAAGAGACAGUGGGAGACAGAGACCACUUAGAAUGUCUGUCUACAGUGGAAGACAGAGAAAGAGAGGGAAGAGAGCGACACUCAGGAAAUGAUCUGGAUUCCGAGGAUGCUCUACCUGUCUCGGAUCAGACACACCUUCCAAACGGCCAAUCAAAGUUACGGGAAGAAGAGACCGUAGCCACUAGGGAGCCAGCAGGAAACUGCCACCAGGAAGUAUUUAAGGGAGCUCUAUCAGGCAGUGUUUUGAGGAGACCCAGGUCAGUCCAGUCCUAUUCUAGUCCAGUGAAGACCCCUGCCCCUCCCAAGCCCCCCCGCCCUCGCCCCCGUCCCGCCUCAGCACUGGUCGACCUCCGAGUCUGCAGUCCCUUCCCAGAGGGCUGUGCGUUUGCCGUUACUCAGCAGGCCACAGGGGGCUCUCUGUGCCGGCACAGACGCAGGCCCGGUCCCAUGAUGCACCUCUUGCCGCCGGGUCGGAGACAGGCUGGCAGUCUGGCCAGACCAUGCUCUGUCAUAGAGCCCUCUGUUACCGUGGAGACAGACCCCGCGCAGAGUCACAGAGCCAUGUCUCGUCCCCCGGGGGCAUCACCUUUAGAGCCCCCCCUCAGAGUGUCUCUUCAGAGGUGUCACUCCCUCCCCCCCAGCAGCCUUACCACUCUGGCCCUGUUUCCGGGACACACAGCAGACUCCCAGUCAUCCUCAAUGUGUCCUGGUGAUGGAGAGACUGGCAUCUGCAGGAGGAGACUGCUCAGAACAGGCUCUGGUCCACUACAAAUUAACAUUGUGAGUCAUUGCCUACCAUGUCCUAUAAUCACACUAUAUUAGCCUGUUAGCAUGUUAGCCUGUUAGCCUGUUAGCAUGUUAGCCUGUUAGCAUGUUAGCCUGUUAGCAUGUUCAGUCACAAGUCACUAACUGCGUCUCAAAUAGGACCCUAUUCCCUAUUGAUGGGUUAGCUGACAACGUCAUGAAAACAAUGUCAGCGCUUCAAAGGGGCAGAAAGUUGUGUGUUGUUGUGAUUCUGGAUGGCCAGGUAGCUAGCAACAAGGACAAGAAACUGCUAUGUGGUGGCAGAUAGCCAAGCACUUAAGAGCAUUAGGUCAGUAACUGAAAGAUAGCUAGUUGGAAUCUCUGAGCUGUCUUGUUUUGAGGGGUUUUGACUGAGGUCUAUGCAAAUAUGGUUAAAAUAUGCCAGCUAGCUAGCUAAUCAACAACUGUAACAAUGUAUUUGAGAGACAAAUGCGCAUUGUGCAACUUUAUUUAUGUUUUCAAUAAACAUUGGAGACAAAAUAUAGUUUACAUGCUAUCAGCAAUCUAAGCCAACGCCGUCUGUUUUGCCCCAGUCUUCCUUCCGGGUUCUGGUUUGAUGGAGACAUUCAGGGAAUAUCUCUGCAAUGCAGUUCAACAGUCUUCCUUCAGGGUUCAGUUCAACAGUUUCCUUUCAGGGUUCAGUUCAACAGUCUUCCUUCAGGGUUCAGUUCAACAGUCUUCCUUCAGGGUUCAGUUCAACAGUCUUCCUUCAGGGUUCAGUUCANNNNNNNNNNCUAAUGGCCAGCAGCAUCAGUACAGGUUAACAGUGGCCAGCAGCAUCAGUAGAGGUUUACAAUGGCCAGCAGCAUCAUUAGAGGGUAACAGUGGCCAGCAGCGUCAGUACAGGGUAACAGUGGCCAGCAGCAUCAGUAGAGGGUAACAGUGGCCAGCAGCAUCAGUAGAGGGUAACAGUGGCCAAGUCACUUUAGGCCAUCCUGAGCUGGUCUAAAUCACAUUACACAACUUGACUCAUUAUGAGCUACAUGAGUCAGCAGUUAGCACACAGAGAGCACAGCAGGACUCACAGAUGAGGGAGAACACACACAUUACUUCUCUACUCAGGCGUGUUCAUUUAAUCACGCAGUGCACAGCUGUGCAGGCGAUGUGUCUCUGUGACCUCAAACAUCACGCUCACCUCACACACACUCUUCAAACCUCACACACUCUUCAAACCUCACACACACACACACUCUUCAAGCCUCACACACAGUCUUCAAAACCUCACACACUCUUCAACCCUCACACACAGUCUUCAAAGCUCACACACAGUCUUUAAUUCUCACACACAGUCUUCAAAACCUCACACACACUCCUCAAUCCUCACACACAGUCUUCAAACCUCACACACACUCNNNNNNNNNNNNNNNNNNUUCUUAAAGUGUGUCCCAAAUGGCACCUUAUUCCCUAUAUAGUGCAUUACUUUUGAUCAGGACCCAUAAGGCUCUGGUCAAAAGUAGUACACUGUGUAGGGAAUAGGGUACCGUUUGGGAUGAAUACGUAGGGCUGACACCCGAUCACAUCCACAGCUGUAACAAAAGGUCAUGAUGUCAUCUGCUGAGAUACUGCUGUAAACAAGCCUGGUGAUUUGGGCUUGCCAAAAGGAGAUUCUAACAUGUAUUGACUCAGGGGAUUGAAUACUUAUCUAAUCAAGAUGUAUUUGUGCCAUAAAGCCA
rnacentral:lncRNA from 13 species